AUUGAACGCUGGCGGCAGGCCUAACACAUGCAAGUCGGGCGAGCGGAGGACGGGUGAGUAAUGUAUGGGGAUCUGCCUGAUGGCGGGGGAUAACUACUGGAAACGGUAGCUAAUACAGCAUACCAUCAGAUGAACCCAUAUGGGAUUAGCUGGUAGGUGAGGUAACGGCUCACCUAGUCGACGAUCCCUAGCUGGUCUGAGAGGAUGAACUGCCACACUGGGACUGAGAACCGGCCCAGACUCCUACGGGAGGCAUCAGUGGGGAAUAUUGCGCAAUGGGCGCAAGUCUGCUGCAGCCAUGCCGCGUGUAUGAAGAAGGCCUUCGGGUUGUAAAGUACUUUCAGUCGGGAGGCGGUACCGACAGAAGAAGCACCGGCUAACUCCGUGCCAGCCGCCGCGGUAAUAC
rnacentral:rRNA from 1 species